UUACCUACAAUCGAUAAAACACGUAUUACACAUAACGUAUGAUCGUAAAUCGAAGCACUGUAUACAGUGCCAUCUACAAAUGGUAUACAGAUCGGAACAUCGUAUUUUAUGCGUUUCAACAAAGAAGGAUCUAAAGUUAAGCUACGCCACGCGUGCCAACCGUCAUCAAUCGAAUAUCUAUGAUUCAUUCACGUAAAUGGAGAGGAAACGCUGUACUUGUUCUCUCUGAAUAUCGUGGAAUAUCUCGGCUGAAGAACGAUUCGCCUCGCGUGAUGAACCGAAAACGAUUAACUAACAUGAAACGACACGAAGAGGUUGCUCAAGGUUCUGGGAACGGGAAAGAAAACGACGUGGCUGGUGUUACGGAAGCUUAAUCGUUCAAGGACGAUCCUGGCCUUUCAACAUUUACGCUUAGUCGCGGUUUAAGGACAAAUCUAAGGUAUCGAGCAUCGACAACGUUUAACUCGGAUCGUGUUCAGGGAAAGAGAGUGGAAAGAAUGGAGAGAGGGGGGGAAGGCUGAUCGAGUCGCCUAUACUCUGUUGGCAUUCGAAACGCGUUACUUUCAUUUCUAACAAGUAGCCAUUCAAGGGCCACGCACUGAUUGUGAGACGUUGGUAGUCACACGUAGUCCAUGUGUGUACAGGAGAGAGAUAUGGUUGAUCGAUGGCUCUUUCCUUUCCCGAGAUCCCCAUCUCGAGGAUCCAACCGUGCAAAAAGGAAACCGGGAAAAGGAAAAAAAGAAAAACGAAACGAGAUCUCUUGACGCAUCGAUGUCACAUAUGCCCAGGAUAUCUGAUCUCUCAGGACGCAUUAAGGAAUUAGUCUCCGUCGAUAAAACAACGCGCAAAGGCAAACAACCCCCAAAGAGGCGCGCGAAGUGUGUAAAUAAGAAUUUCAAGUAGCGUGUUCCGUUUCGACGAUCGAAGCCUGUCCGAUUAUCAACCGGUAGUACGCGAAUGAAAUUAUAGCCCAUUAUCUGGAAUCGAUUUCUCGGCGAGCAAAGCCUCCCCCCACGGCCAUCGUGCACACGGUGUGUUGUACACGGGCGAAUCGAGCCGAGUUUCCCCACGACCAAUCCUGCGUUUUCUGUACCGCAGGUCGAUAGAUGAAAAACGCCACGACCGCCGCCCUAUGACUCACCCCUUGGGCUCGAUCUUUUUCAAAGAGGUGCACUUGCACACACCGGCCUGCCUAACCUUGCCAACCGCGGCACUAUUCAGGUCGGGUUAGGUCAUCCCCUGGAGAUAAAUACAGACUUUCCAUUAUAUGUGGAUGAAUCAGGUAUGAGUAGGCAGGUAUGUGGUGGGAAAAAGUGAGUCGAAAAAGGGGAAACUACUAUGUUUUUUUUGUUUUCCCUUCUUCGAGAGAACUUGACAAAAGUUUUGAAUUUGUGUAGAAUAAAUUAUAGUUUUAUUUUAGUAUUCAUAAUUUAUUUAUACUUGUUUCUAGAUUUUAGAAUUGAUUUUAUAUCAAUUCAUCGUGAUAAAGUUAUAUGUAAUAAAGAUAAAAUAUACGUUUUUUGCAAGAUAUUUUUGCAUGCAGACUCGGUCGGAUGUAUCACUUAUCCUGGGUCACCCUGUAUAUGUGACAGGUACCUUUGUGGGACUACCUGCCGCCGCUGCUACUUUCUUCUUACUUUUACCAGGCCUCGAGUUUCGGGCUUUCAAACUGGUCCACGACAUCCUCCAGCGAAUAUCGCGACCAAUAUUUAAUAUUCGUAUAUUUUUUUUCUUCUUCCUUCGAUAAAUCUUUUUAAAAAAAUCGU